AAGGGGACACAGACCUGCGUCCAAGCUGUGCCACCUGAGACGUGGGCGGUCCCAGUGACCGGGAGCCGGAGCUCGAACGGGACGGGCGAACAGAAGCGCGGAGGGCUUCGCAGCGUCGGCGUCUGUGCGUGGGCCAAACAUCAGGGCCUCGACCAGGGAUACAAGGGCAACCGCUAACUAGAUUCCUGAUUCCUGAUGGCUGGCGGCGGCUGACACCAAAGUGCCCGUGGGAGAGCAAGAUCGCGAGGCACGAGCUGUGAGGGCACACCGCCUCUCUUGGUCCUCCGAAGCAAAGACACUGAUGCUCCCAGAAGCUGCGGAAGGACCUGGCUGGAGAUGACUUCCAGCACCGCCACCAUGUUCCGGAUCUGUGGAAAUAAAAAGCCAUUUGUCAGGUCCCUGUCCUUCUCCACUGGGAGGCUGGAACACCCUGCCCCAGCCUGCUCCAGUCUCUCCCCAACCCCAGAGCAAGAGGAGCCAGCAGCACUGAAGCCCCCACUCCAUGUCGUCUCCUACCUGCUCCCUGGGCCAACCUGGCACCCAGUGCUCAUCCUCACCUGCCGUCUGACCUCCUCCAGUGUGUGGUGUGCGGGCUGCCCCAAGCCCUCCAGUGUACAUGGUACAUACCCACCCACCUGCUGAAACCCAGGAUGCCUGUGGAACAAGAGCUGCUCCUGAUACUUAAGAUGACCUCUACUCUGCCAUCUGAUGGGAGUGGGAGAGGAGACACGGAAGAAUUCAUCGAAUAAAAUCCACAAAGCUUAAAAGAUCAAUACACAGGCCAGGCGCGGUGGCUGACACCUGUAAUCCCAGCACUUUGGGAGGCUGACGAAGGCGGAUCAGAAGGUCA
rnacentral:lncRNA from 1 species